rnacentral:lncRNA from 1 species
GGCGUGAGCCACCGCGCCUGGCCAAUCAUAAAGAGUUUUAAGGGAAAAUUAGGUCUCCAAUGAAGACUGAGUAGCAGUAGAAGACACAGAGGGGUGAACACAAGCUUUGUGUGAGUGAAACAUACCAGUAAGCAGAUUUACUGGGGAAGGAACAAGUACAGACCAGAGAAUGCCAGGGUGCAGAGUUUCAAUCUUUCACUCUCAGGCAGAGUUGCCCUUUCACUUUGCUUCUUAUCUCCCUUAGCGUGGGGGUCUGGAGUUACCUCGUGUCUGCCCCAUUUUUCUCAGACCCCUAACUACUACAUCAAAGACCCACCCGAGACAGACUAAUGAUUUGCUUUCUAGCAAUGUUUCUCAAACUUCCUUCACUUAACAAUUUUUGCCAUCUUUACAUAUGUAACAUUUUCUUAACACUUUUCUUUAAAUCAACUCAAUUUUGA